AUUCUUAUGGUCUUUCAUCUUACUGUAUCUCUUUAUUUUAAUAUAUAUUUGUUGGGUUUCUCAGGGAAAAAAGGAGGGGCCCUGUGAUACUUAAGGUGCUACAGAAUGAUGUGAACACAGUAAAAACUGCAAAUAUUAAGGGAGAAUCUGUCUUUUCAGACCAAAUGACUGAACACCAUGCAAGUAACUGCUUCAGCAAUAGAGGUGCAUUGCGUGGCGCCUCUGUGUCGCUUGCUUCAGUCGGGGGACCGUGUGCUUUUGCUCAAUUCGCCCUCCGAAUUGGAAGCAUGUUGGCAAAGAUUCAGGUCCGAGAGACUGAGCUUCCACAGUGAUAAUCCUCAGACUCUUUGGAGAGGUGGUGUGGCAGCUUCCUCCCAAGCACAUGCCAAAGAGGAACCUAGUGGCCAAAGCCCAUGUUUUUCUUUCUCUUUGACUUUCCGUAGUCAAGGGAGCACAGCUUUUGGCCCAAUAAACACUCUUGCUGAGGGCCUGCCGUCUUGCCUUCUUCUUUGAGGAAGUGGAUUGAAGUGAAUGAGGACUGAAAAAUUUUGCCCAACAGCUUUUUGUUUGGUUUUCUUACAAGAAAGAUUCUUAAUUUAACUGAUUUCCUUCCUAAUUAGAUUUAGCGGUUAGGGCUGCCCAUUAACCCAGAGUUUGCCUGCGCAAAUCUCAUCCUCCAUCACGGCUGCCUGGCUUGCAGCACCACAGCUGUGUAAUUGGCAGUUAAAUCCACAUCUGCUGCUCAAACAGAGGAGACGCACACAGCCAAACCCAGGUGGCUGGCUCUGCUAUCCAGUCGGAUUCAAAAAGCAAGGACGACUCUGGGGUGAGGGGAAGAGGAACAGGAUAACCUGGGAUGUCUAGGCUCCCACAAGUCAUUCAUUUAACAAAUAUUUAUUAAGUACUUAAUAUCUGCAGGGCACUGUUUUAAGCACUGGGGAUACAGUAAUAACCAAAGCAGACAAGAUCCCUGCACUUUGCGGAGGAUACCAGAGAUGAAUAAUUGUAUGAUAUGCCAGAUAACCAUAUUGUGGAAAUAUUGUGAUCUAGGCAUAUGUAUUUAAAAAACACACACACACCCCUCUGAUUCUGUGUGCUGGUGCCAAGUGCUCUGGUAUCAUAGUGGAGGAAGAAAUUUAUUUUGCAUGGAAGAUUUUGGCAAGUAGUGAGACUUCGGCUGGCCCCUGAAGAAAGCUUAGGUCAGGUGAAUUGCUGUAGUGCAGGGAAGUGAGGAGAAAAUGCUCCCCAGGGUUUGUGACACACGUCAGCAGGGGUCCAGGAGAGAGGACAGAGGGUGUGCAAAGCAGAUCGAGGGAGCUGAGUAGCAGACUCCUGCCUCAACAGAGGGUGGGAUGGCGGGUGGAACAGGGGCUGGGCUGGAAAGUACUUUGAGGCUACGCAAGGGAGGAUUUUGACUGCCAGGCAGGAGUAUGGGUUGGAUUCUGCAUGCAGGGGGCGUUAUGAGUGUUUUGGGCAGGGAGUGCCCCGGGCAGAUGUGUUUACACGUGCAAUGCUGGAAGCUGGAUGCCUCAUCCGGGUGCAGGGAGACACCUGGGGUGAAGCUGGCCCUUGUGGCUGGCACCUAGUGGCACUGAGACCAGAAGAGUCUUUGGUUUUUCAUUAUGUAACAGGAGGUAUUUUCUUAUGACUCAGAUUAUUCAGGAAAACAAGCUAGAUCAUCUUCUUUCCCUAGACUUUUGCAUUCAAACAUGACCAUGCCUUCAUUCCCAAGUUCAAGGACAGUAAACUGAGAUUCUGAGAGACUCACAGCCUCUUCCUUUUAUAGCUGUAGUUGGGCAACUUGGGAGCCUCGACACUUGAUCUCUAUGGAUGACUGUUACUGAUUGCUUGCAUGGAGCCUCAGUAAGGCUUGCAUUAAUUGGUGUGACUUGUGUUCUUCUCUUGACAAAUUGCACAUAGAUGGGCAGAGGAGUUUUGGAAAGGGGUGAAUCCCACCACCUUCAUUCUCCUGCUGUUGCAAUUUACCCUCAUGGAUCAAAAGUAACCCAGAGAGCCCUAAAGAGAAGAGAAGCAGUGCAAGUGGUCGUUUCACAAGUUUUUGUUGCUAUCAUGUCCCCACUGACUUUGCUGACUCAGCCAACAAAGACAUUUGGUUCACCUGUAUUCGCAGGAAAACACUUUCCAUUCCCUUAUUCUUCUUCCACAUUUCCCUUCCCUGCAGGCACUAGGUUCCUUCACCUCCCUCACUCUCUGCUGGUAUUUAUGGUGCCUGGAAGGGAAGAACAGCGAUGCUUAAGCAGCGGCGGUGUUGAGACAUUCCUGCCACACCACGCACACGAUGCGAAUCUUCCGCCAUCUUUCCUCAAAGUCUUGAGUGAAACGUCCGUUUCUCAGAAAUGCUUUGUGGAGCCGGCUCUGGCACUUUGGCCAGUUUCUUGGCGGGGGCGUUACAGAAGGACGAUGGGAGUGGGUUCCCCGCCUCCGCCUCUGGGGCCCGGCAGUCCCGGCUCCUGUUCUCUUCCCAGGGCUCAGUGGUGGAAACCCGGAGCCAGGCGAGGAGGCCGGCAAAGACCCGGAAGUGAACGCCGAUGCCCCGGAAGUGCACAGCCUCCUCGCCAGGCUGCGGCCUUCGCUUGCUUCCCACAGUCCCUUCAGUCAGUCAGCAACAGCGCCGGGAACCUCAGAAUUGUGGCCCAAUUUGGCUCCACCUGCGUGCCUUCUCUCCGUCGAGGAUGCUCUGUGGUAAAUAAACCUUUCAGAGCCUCCCAGGCCCCGGCAAGGCAGCGUGGGGCAGCGGGAAGACUCCCAGCCCUGCGUUCCACUCCUGGCUCCCCCUCUUCCCAGCCUGCCACCUCGAGCAAGUCACUUCAGCUCUCUGAGCCUCAGGUCUUCAUCUAUAAAUCGAGGCUCCUGAGUCCCUAGUUCAAGGGCAUGUCGCGAGGAAGCAAGGCCUUUAGAACCCCCUGCUGAGAUCCACUAAGGACAUGAUGUUAGACAAAAAGUAAAAUCAAGCGAUUUUCUUAUUCAAUUUCAAAAAACGGGUCGUAAAGCCCAGAGACAACUCGCAACAUCAACAACGCAUUGGCCCAGGAACUGCUAAUGAACAUACAGUGCAGUGGUGGUUCAAGAAGUUUUGUAAAGGACAUGAGAGCAUUGAAGAUGAGGAAUGCAGUGGCUGGCCAUCAGAAGUUGACAAGUCGAUAAGUGGAUGCCUCAUGAGCUUACCAAAAAUUUAAAAAAAUCAUUGUUUUGAAGUCUUGUUUUCUCUCAUUGUAUGCGACAAUGAACCAUUUCUUGGUCGGAUUGUGAUGUGUGAUGAAAAGUGGGUUUUAUACGACAAGCGGCAAUGACCAGCUCAGUGUGUGGACCAAGAAGCAGCUCCAAAGCUGCUUCCUAAAGCCAAACUUGCACCAAUAAAAGGUCCUGGUCACUGUUUGGUCUGAUCCACUACAGCUUUCUGAAUCCCAGCAAAACCAUGACAUUGGAGAAGUACGCUCAGCAAAUCAAUGAGCUGCCCCGAAAACUGCAACACCUGCAGUUGGCAUUAGUCAACAGAAAGGGCCCAAUUCUUCUCGAUGACAACGCCUGACUGCACAUCACACAUCCAAGGCUUCAAAAGUUGAACAAAUUGGACUACAAAGGUUUGCUUCAUCUGCCAUAUUCACCUGACCUCUCGCCAACCCACUACCACUUCUUCAAGCAUCUUGGCAACUUUUUGCAGGGAAAAAUGCUUCCACAGCCAGCAGGAUGCAAAAGUGCUUUCCAAGAGUUCCUGGAAUCCCAAAACAGAUUUUUAUGGUACAGGAAUAAACAAACUUACUUCUCGUUGGCAAAAAUGCGUUGAUUGUAAUGGUUCCUAUAUUGAUAAAUAAAGAUGUCUUUGAGCCUAGUUAUAAUGAUUUAGAAUUCACUGGUUCAAAACCACAAUUUUGCAACAACCUAAAUAUUAUCUUUUUGUUUCAUAGAUAUGAAUAGAUACCUUCCUCUCAACCAGAGUGAAUCACUCCUUGAUAGAAGAAAGGGCUUAUCCCUUUAAGUUUUUUCUUUCCCUUGGCACUAUUGCAAACUUUAUGAAAAACAGGUAUUUAGCUUUUGCUUAAAGUGUAUUUUUGCUUUAAGCAACCAGCAGGUGUGAUAAAUCCGUGUAAUUUGUUUGAUCCUGACAUAGCUUUGUUUUUUAAGAGGCACAGGGCUAAUUCUUUAAUAUCCUGUAGUUUUUCAUAAACUCAUUUCAAGGAGGCUCUGCAAAUAUGAAUAAAAGUAAUGUGCAAUGUUUCAGGGUUUCUGUGAAGGCACUAAAUAUGAUAAGCAAUGGGGAGAACAAGAAUGGCUGAAUUUUGUCUUAAAUUCUGACUGUGCUCAAACUCCACUAAGGCUUCUUUUUCUAUUGCUUUGUAAAACUAUGCUAACUUCUCAUUUAAUGAUGCUGGUAAGUUCUUGAAACUGCCACUUUAAGUGGAACAAUAUAUAAAAUAACCAGGCUGGUUUUCUCAUAGGCUAAUUGAUAGAAACAGGAGUCAAGUUCCCAUGGCAUAUUUCUGAUCAGAAAAACAUCACCAAAACACUUCUAAUAUUAAACAAGGAAAUCAGGCCGG